rnacentral:rRNA from 1 species
AGUAGGGAAUAUUGGACAAUGGGCGCAAGCCUGAUCCAGCCAUGCCGCGUGUGUGAAGAAGGCCUUCGGGUUGUAAAGCACUUUUAUCCGGAAAGAAAAGCGCUGGGUUAAUACCCUGGUGUCCUGACGGUACCGGAAGAAUAAGCACCGGCUAACUUCGUGCCAGCAGCCGCGGUAAUACGAAGGGUGCAAGCGUUACUCGGAAUUACUGGGCGUAAAGCGUGCGUAGGUGGUUUGUUAAGUCUGAUGUGAAAGCCCUGGGCUCAACCUGGGAAUUGCAUUGGAUACUGGCAGGCUAGAGUGCGGUAGAGGGUAGUGGAAUUCCCGGUGUAGCAGUGAAAUGCGUAGAGAUCGGGAGGAACAUCUGUGGCGAAGGCGACUACCUGGACCAGCACUGACACUGAGGCACGAAAGCGUGGGGAGCAAACAGGAUUAGAUACCCUGGUAGUCCACGCCCUAAACGAUGCGAACUGGAUGUUGGGCUCAACUUGGAGCUCAGUAUCGAAGCUAACGCGUUAAGUUCGCCGCCUGGGGAGUACGGUCGCAAGACUGAAACU